rnacentral:rRNA from 1 species
AUUGAACGCUGGCGGCAGGCUUAACACAUGCAAGUCGAGCGGAGAGAGGUAGCUUGCUACUGAUCUUAGCGGCGGACGGGUGAGUAAUGCUUAGGAAUCUGCCUAUUAGUGGGGGACAACAUUUCGAAAGGAAUGCUAAUACCGCAUACGUCCUACGAGAGAAAGCAGGGGAUCUUCGGACCUUGCGCUAUAGAUGAGCCUAAGUCGGAUUAGCUAGUUGGUGGGGUAAAGGCCUACCAAGGCGACGAUCUGUAGCGGGUCUGAGAGGAUGAUCCGCCACACUGGGACUGAGACACGGCCCAGACUCCUACGGGAGGCAGCAGUGGGGAAUAUUGGACAAUGGGCGGAAGCCUGAUCCAGCCAUGCCGCGUGUGUGAAGAAGGCCUUAUGGUUGUAAAGCACUUUAAGCGAGGAGGAGGCUACUUUAGUUAAUACCUAGAGAUAGUGGACGUUACUCGCAGAAUAAGCACCGGCUACUCUGUGCCAGCCGCCGCCGUAAUAC